rnacentral:rRNA from 1 species
GACGUGACUUCAGAGUUUGAUCCUGGCUCAGGAUGAACGCUAGCGGCAGGCUUAACACAUGCAAGUCGAGGGGCAGCAUGACGGAACCUUCGGGUUUUGUCGAUGGCGACCGGCGCAAGGGUGCGUAACGCGUGAGCAACUUGCCCGUUUCAGGGGGAUAACCGGUGGAAACGCCGACUAAUACCCCAUGGUAUCAUAUUCAGGCAUCUUUAUAUGAUUAAAGAAUUUCGGAAACGGAUAGGCUCGCGUGACAUUAGCUAGAUGGCGGGGUAACGGCCCACCAUGGCGACGAUGUCUAGGGGUUCUGAGAGGAAGGUCCCCCACACUGGAACUGAGACACGGUCCAG